GACGAACGCUGGCGGCGUGCUUAACACAUGCAAGUCGAACGGAAAGGCCCUGCUUUUGUGGGGUGCUCGAGUGGCGAACGGGUGAGUAACACGUGAGUAACCUGCCCUUGACUUUGGGAUAACUUCAGGAAACUGGGGCUAAUACCGGAUAGGAGCUCCUGCUGCAUGGUGGGGGUUGGAAAGUUUCGGCGGUUGGGGAUGGACUCGCGGCUUAUCAGCUUGUUGGUGGGGUAGUGGCUUACCAAGGCUUUGACGGGUAGCCGGCCCGAGAGGGUGACCGGCCACAUUGGGACUGAGAUACGGCCCAGACUCCUACGGGAGGCAGAAGUGGGGAAUAUUGCACAAUGGGCGGAAGCCUGAUGCAGCAACGCCGCGUGCGGGAUGACGGCCUUCGGGUUGUAAACCGCUUUCGCCUGUGACGAAGCGUGAGUGACGGUAAUGGGUAAAGAAGCACCGGCUAACUACGUG
rnacentral:rRNA from 1 species